rnacentral:rRNA from 1 species
AUGGCGAUGGAGCAGAAGCUGAUGAAUACUGGGCAAUACAGGCAAGAAAGGUUCCUUGCUUUAUUAGAAAGUGCGAAUAAUGGGGAGCUAUUCUACAGCGAUGAGCCGAGUGCUCUAGAAACCGUCAAUGAAGGAAGCGAGUCAGAUAUAUAUUCAGGUUCAGAGAACAUGCUGUCAAAUGUUCAUGCAUGGCAAACAAAUGGUAGUGGCAUUGUUAAAGCGACAGAUUUGGCUGGGCCUGAGGGUCUGCGGCUUAUCAGUGGGUUGAUUGAGCCUAUUGAACCAGACAAGGCCGACAAAGGAUGCCUACAAAUUUCAGAGACCGCGGGAGCAGAGCAGAGUUCUGAAAGUGAUACUACUUGCGUUAGAAGGCAUCGGCGAGGAGCAAUGCCUGAUGAGAGAACUAUACAAGCAAAGAGGGUUACAACACUUGAAACUGCAAUCAGGGGUUUUGCUGAAAGGAAAACAGCUUCUGUCAUUACACCAACACUAGGAUUGAGUUAUGAUUCAUUGACAGAAGCUUACGACUUUUACAACCUGUAUUCUUGGGAAUGUGGUUUCGGCAUACGUUACGGAAGAGCAAAAAUAAUGUGA